AUUGAACGCUGGCGGAAUGCUUUACACAUGCAAGUCGAACGGCAGCACGGGGGCAACCCUGGUGGCGAGUGGCGAACGGGUGAGUAAUACAUCGGAACGUGCCCAGUCGUGGGGGAUAACGUAGCGAAAGUUACGCUAAUACCGCAUACGAUCUAUGGAUGAAAGCGGGGGACCGUAAGGCCUCGCGCGAUUGGAGCGGCCGAUGUCAGAUUAGGUAGUUGGUGGGGUAAAGGCCCACCAAGCCGACGAUCUGUAGCUGGUCUGAGAGGACGACCAGCCACACUGGGACUGAGACACGGCCCAGACUCCUACGGGAGGCAGCAGUGGGGAAUUUUGGACAAUGGGCGCAAGCCUGAUCCAGCCAUUCCGCGUGCAGGACGAAGGCCUUCGGGUUGUAAACUGCUUUUGUACGGAACGAAAAGGUCCUGGUUAAUACCCGGGGCUCAUGACGGUACCGUAGGAAUAAGCACCGGCUAACUACGUGCCAGCAGCCGCGGUAA
rnacentral:rRNA from 1 species